rnacentral:lncRNA from 1 species
CAGAAUGAUUAGGUUUUUUUAAUGUAACAGCGCAGCAAAGCAUGUCCGGUCCUUCUAGUUUUUGCUACUCUGGGGGUAAUAUCUGUUAUAAAUGUGAAUUCUGGGGGGUAAAGAAAAUGGAAUUCACUCUACUGUACUAAAAAUGAUUCACCGGCCGUCACCUUUGCGCCUGCGGUGGUUACAGAUUUACCCUUCGUCCUUCCUUCGUCGGGAUUCGGGAACCGGCUUCUGUCAGAUUCCUGAAAUGCAUGGUUUUUAAAACUCUUUUUUCUUUGAAGGUUGGUUGGAUUCCUGAACGCUUGCCCUUUAAAACUCAUUCGGGUGUCACAAGUUGCCUUGGAACAUAGGAUCUUGGUCUUAUGCGUGACCCGGGACCGGGAGAUGGAUCAAAGCGAUGUGAAACUGGGUUUUUAAAAACUGGCGCCGUGGCACGCACAGUCAUACCUUCUGGCCUGUGGCGCCGAUCUGUCGGGAGUCCAACUCCAACAGGGAGCUCUUUCUCUGCAAUUUAACAGGGAGCUCGGAUCCCGAAAGGCAGCCAGUGGUUGGCACACCCCUAUCG